rnacentral:rRNA from 1 species
UUAUAUGGUCAAGAAGAGAAGCGCAAACGGUGGAUGCCUUGGCAGUAAGAGGCGAAGAAGGACGUGGAAUCCUGCGAAAAGCUAUGGGGAGCUGGAAACGAGCGUUGAGCCAUAGAUGUCCGAAUGGGGGAACCCGGCUGCAGCGAUGCGGUCAUUUGCAUUUGAAUACAUAGGAUGCAAAGGCGAACUCGGGGAACUGAAACAUCUAAGUACCCGAAGGAAAAGAAAUCAAGAGAGAUUCUCCAAGUAGCGGCGAGCGAACGGGGAGGAGCCUGGCGUGAUUUAUUAUUGAACUGAGUAGAACAAUUUGGGAAAGUUGGCCGAAGAGGGUGAAAGCCCCGUAUACGAAGGUUUGAUGAGGAACUAGGCACGCGAACAAGUAGGCCGGGACACGUGAAAUCCUGGUUGAAGAUGGGUGGACCAUCAUCCAAGGCUAAAUACUACUUACUGACCGAUAGUGAACCAGUACCGUGAGGGAAAGGUGAAAAGAACCCCGGA